AGAUGACUGGGAGGUACAACAUAUUCUGCAUUAUCCUGACAAACAAAUGAUUGUAAAGGCCAGAGGUGCCUGGAGUGAUGCUGAUUGGCUACAUCCCCUCUGAUAAAAGGCUGGCUUCCUGUUUCCUCCCUCUCUCACUCUCCCCAUGCCAGACCAACUUCCUUUAGUCAGACCUUUGUGUUAGUGCACUCGUCAACACCUCUCAUACAUCAUAUUCACACACCCACAUGCACACUACUGAUGUUACAGACUCUCCAUACCCCAUAUUCAUUUGUAUUCAUUGGUUAUUUAAUUUACUGUUAUCAUAAAUAACUUACUUUCUUUAA